AUGAACGCUGGCGGCGUGCCUAAUACAUGCAAGUCGAGCGAACAGACGAGGAGCUUGCUCCUCUGACGUUAGCGGCGGACGGGUGAGUAACACGUGGAUAACCUACCUAUAAGACUGGGAUAACUUCGGGAAACCGGAGCUAAUACCGGAUAAUAUAUUGAACCGCAUGGUUCAAUAGUGAAAGACGGUUUUGCUGUCACUUAUAGAUGGAUCCGCGCCGCCUUAGCUAGUUGGUAAGGUAACGGCUUACCAAGGCAACGAUGCGUAGCCGACCUGAGAGGGUGAUCGGCCACACUGGAACUGAGACACGGUCCAGACUCCUACGGGAGGCAGCAGUAGGGAAUCUUCCGCAAUGGGCGAAAGCCUGACGGAGCAACGCCGCGUGAGUGAUGAAGGUCUUCGGAUCGUAAAACUCUGUUAUUAGGGAAGAACAAAUGUGUAAGUAACUAUGCACGUCUUGACGGUACCUAAUCAGAAAGCCACGGCUAACUACGUG
rnacentral:rRNA from 1 species